AGCUCAGCAGGGGAAGAUGGCAGGGGCCAGUCAUGCCUCGUCAUGGCAGUUACAAGGCGGAUCCGCCCCUCCCCCAGGCCUGGCCUCGCCCAGAGAGCCGCCCUCUUCCGGGAACCUCCUGCUCCGGAGCCAGGAAGGGCUGCCCUUUCCCCACCAGGAGGCCAGGGAGAUGCCUCCCUGUGCCCACAGAAUCCAGGAAGGGCCCUGGAAUCUGAAGGCUCUCUCCAGCAUGCAGCCCAGCCCUGCCCUCCUGACUGGCAGAAAUCUGACCCAAGGCCAGGGCCUAUGAACAGGGUCUGGUGAGCAGAGCCCAACUAGACCCACAGCCCAGCAGCUGGUGGGGAAACUGAUCUCGGAGAGGAAGCCUGACUGUCCAAGGGUGAAGGAAAUCCAUGACCAUGACAGUAAGGAAUGGGUUCAGCAGG
rnacentral:lncRNA from 1 species